rnacentral:rRNA from 1 species
GAUGAACGCUGGCGGCGUGCUUAACACAUGCAAGUCGAACGAUGAAAGCGGGAGCUUGCUCCUGCUGGAUUAGUGGCGAACGGGUGAGUAACACGUGAGUAACCUGCCCUUGACUCUGGGAUAAGCGUUGGAAACGACGUCUAAAUACCGGAUACGACCUUCGGAGGCAUCUCCUGGGGUGGAAAGAAUUUCGGUCAAGGAUGGACUCGCGGCCUAUCAGCUAGUUGGUGAGGUAAUGGCUCACCAAGGCGACGACGGGUAGCCGGCCUGAGAGGGUGACCGGCCACACUGGGACUGAGACACGGCCCAGACUCCUACGGGAGGCAGCAGUGGGGAAUAUUGCACAAUGGGCGCAAGCCUGAUGCAGCAACGCCGCGUUGAGGGACGAAC